rnacentral:rRNA from 1 species
CUGCUAUCGGGAUAGGACUAAGACAUGCUAGUCAAGCGCUUCCCAGCCAAAGGGAAGUGCGGCACACAGCUCAGUAGCACGUGGCUAACCUGCCCUUGGGAUAGGGACAACCCCGGGAAACUGGGGCUAAUUCCUAAUAAGCGAAGAGCUCUGGAAUGAGCCUUCACUCGAAACGAUUUUUGCACUAUGCUUGCAGAUUUCGCCCUAGGAUGGGGCCGCGACCGAUCAGGUUGUUGGUGAGGUAACGGCUCACCAAGCCUAUAACCGGUGCGGGCCGUGGGAGCGGGAGCCCGGAGAUGGGUACUGAGACAAGGACCCAGGCCCUACGGGGCGCAGCAGUCGCGCAAACUUUGCAAUACACGAAAGUGUGACAGGGCUAUCCCGAGUGCCGUCCGCUGAGGAUGGCUUUUACCCAGUCUAGAAAGCUGGGGGAAUAAGGAGAGGGCAAGUCUGGUGUCAGCCGCCGCGGUAAUACCAGCUCUCCGAGUGGUGUGGAUGUUUAUUGGGCCUAAAGCAUCCGUAGCUGGCCAAGUUAGUCCCUUGUUAAACCCACCGAAUUAAUCGUUGGAUUGCGGGGGAUACUGCUCGGCUAGGGGACGGGAGAGGCAGACGGUAUUUUCGGGGUAGGGGUGAAAUCCUAUAAUCCCGGGAAGACCACCAGUGGCGAAGGCUGUCUGCUAGAACGCGCCCGACGGUGAGGGAUGAAAGCUGGGGGAGCGAACCGGAUUAGAUACCCGGGUAGUCCCAGCUGUAAACGAUGCAGGCUAGGUGUUUGGACGGCCACGUGCCGUUCUAGUGCCGCAGGGAAGCUGUUAAGCCUGCCGCCUGGGGAGUACGGUCGCAAGAUU